rnacentral:rRNA from 1 species
UACGAAGGGGGCUAGCGUUGUUCGGAAUUACUGGGCGUAAAGCGCACGUAGGCGGAUUGUUAAGUUAGGGGUGAAAUCCCAGGGCUCAACCCUGGAACUGCCUUUAAUACUGGCAAUCUCGAGUCCGAGAGAGGUGAGUGGAAUUCCGAGUGUAGAGGUGAAAAUUCGUAGAUAUUCGGAGGAACACCAGUGGCGAAGGCGGACUCACUGGCUCGGUACUGACGCUGAGGUGCGAAAGCGUGGGGAGCAAACAGGG